rnacentral:rRNA from 1 species
UACGAAGGGGGCUAGCGUUACUCGGAAUUACUGGGCGUAAAGGGCGCGUAGGCGGCCAUGUAAGUGAGGCGUGAAAUUCCUGGGCUUAACCUGGGGACUGCGCUUCAUACUGCGUGGCUUGAGGAUGGAAGAGGGUCGUGGAAUUCCCAGUGUAGAGGUGAAAUUCGUAGAUAUUGGGAAGAACACCGGUGGCGAAGGCGGCGACCUGGUCCAUUACUGACGCUGAGGCGCGACAGCGUGGGGAGCAAACAGG